GCUUGAAUGAAAGGUCGGAUGAGGGACUAGCUGUCUUUUUUUAUUAAAAGAAUUUAACUUUUAAGUGAAAAGGCUUAAAUAUACUAGUGGGACGAUAAGACCCUAUAAAAUUUAAUAUAAAUUAAAUAUAAUUUGAGGAUUUAGUUUAAUUCAAUUUUUUUUAGUUUAUAUUUCGUUGGGGAGACGACGAUAUAAUUUUAACUGUCCUUAUUAUAUAAUAGUAAUAAUUAGAUUUUGAUCCUUUAUUAAAGAUUUUAAGAUUAAGUUACUUUAGGGAUAACAGCGUAAUUUUCUUUGAGAGUUCUUAUCGACAAGAGUAGUUGCGACCUCGAUGUUGAAUUAAAGUUUCUGGCACGGUGUAGCCGCUUGCCUUGUGGGUCUGUUCGACC
rnacentral:rRNA from 1 species